rnacentral:rRNA from 1 species
GACGAACGCUGGCGGCGUGCCUAAUACAUGCAAGUAGAACGCUGAAGGAGGAGCUUGCUUCUCUGGAUGAGUUGCGAACGGGUGAGUAACGCGUGGGUAACCUGCCCGGUAGCGGGGGAUAACUAUUGGAAACGAUAGCUAAUACCGCAUAAUAUUGACUAUUGCAUGAUAGUCAGUUGAAAGGUGCAACUGCACCACUACCAGAUGGACCUGCGUUGUAUUAGCUAGUUGGUGGGGUAACGGCUCACCAAGGCGACGAUACAUAGCCGACCUGAGAGGGUGAUCGGCCACACUGGGACUGAGACACGGCCCAGACUCCUACGGGAGGCAGCAGUAGGGAAUCUUCGGCAAUGGACGGAAGUCUGACCGAGCAACGCCGCGUGAGUGAAGAAGGUUUUCGGAUCGUAAAGCUCUGUUGUAAGAGAAGAACGAGUGUGAGAGUGGAAAGCUCACACUGUGACGGUAUCUUACCAGAAAGGGACGGCUAACUACGUG